rnacentral:rRNA from 1 species
AAUCAACGUUGGCGGCGCGCCUAACACAUGCAAGUCGAACGAGAAAGUGGAGCAAUCCAUGAGUAAAGUGGCGUACGGGUGAGUAACACGUGGGUAAUCUACCUCUUGGUGGGGAAUAACGCUGGGAAACUGGCGCUAAUACCGCAUAAGUUCGUAAGAAGAAAGUCGCAAGACGCCGAGAGAGGAGCCCGCGGCCGAUUAGCUAGUUGGUAGGGUAAAAGCCUACCAAGGCUAUGAUCGGUAGCCGGCCUGAGAGGGCACACGGCCACACUGGCACUGAAACACGGGCCAGACUCCUACGGGAGGCAGCAGUGGGGAAUCUUGCACAAUGGGGGAAACCCUGAUGCAGCGACGCCGCGUGAGUGAUGAAGCCCUUCGGGGUGUAAAGCUCUUUCGACAGGAACGAUAAUGACGGUACCUGGAGAAGAAGCUGCGGCUAACUACGUG